rnacentral:misc_RNA from 1 species
GAUGAAGAACGUAGCGAAAUGCGAUAAGUAGUGUGAAUUGCAGAAUUCAGUGAAUCAUCGAAUCUUUGAACGCACAUUGCGCCCCUUGGUAUUCCAUGGGGCAUGCCUGUUCGAGCGUCAUUUGUACCUUCAAGCUCUGCUUGGUGUUGGGUGUUUGUCUCGCCUCUGCGUGUAGACUCGCCUUAAAACAAUUGGCAGCCGGCGUAUUGAUUUCGGGGCGCAGUACAUCUCGCGCUUUGCACUCAUAACGACGACGUCCAAAAGUACAUUUUUACACUCUUGACCUCGGAUCAGGUAGGGAUACCCGCUGAACUUAAGCAUAUCAAUAAGCGGAGGA